GGAAAAAUGGAAAAGCCCAUGGAGAGGGCCCAAAGGUCAUAAAGAAAUGAAAAAUGCCCAAUGGAAAGUUUGUCGUGGAGGCGUGCCGAACGAAGUAUGUGACCAACAAAUAGGAAUAAUUAUAUACGCGUACGAAUCAAUAGUGAAGUAAUAUCCCACUAUUAUGGGGUGAGUAGGGGGUGUCAAUUUUUAAAAUUCCAUAUAUAUAUACAUGUACGUAUAUUUUACGUGAAGUGCAAAAUUUAUGGAAAGCAUGCGUUGAUAGAAUUUUAA